GACGAACGCUGGCGGCGUGCUUAACACAUGCAAGUCGAACUGAAAGGCCCUGCUUGCAGGGUACUCGAGUGGCGAACGGGUGAGUAACACGUGGGUGAUCUGCCCUGCACUUCGGGAUAAGCCUGGGAAACUGGGUCUAAUACCGGAUAGGAGCCAUUUUUAGUGUGAUGGUUGGAAAGUUUUUUCGGUGUAGGAUGAGCUCGCGGCCUAUCAGCUUGUUGGUGGGGUAAUGGCCUACCAAGGCGGCGACGGGUAGCCGGCCUGAAAGGGUGGACGGCCACAUUGGGACUGAGAUACGGCCCAGACUCCUACGGGAGGCAGCAGUGGGGAAUAUUGCACAAUGGGCGCAAGCCUGUUGCAGCGACGCCGCGUGGGGGAUGACGGCCUUCGGGUUGUAAACUCCUUUCGCUAGGGACGAAGCUUUUUGUGACGGUACCUAGAGAAGAAGCACCGGCUAACUACGUG
rnacentral:rRNA from 1 species